GACGAACGCUGGCGGCGUGCUUAACACAUGCCAGUCGAACGGACAGGCCCUGCUUUUGCUGGGUGCUCGAGUGGCGAACGGGUGAGUAACACGUGAGUAACACGCCCCUGUCUUUGGGAUAAAUUCUGGAAACUGGGGCUAAUACCGGAUAGGAGCUACUGCUGCAUGGUGGGGGUUGGAAAGUUUCGGCGGUUGGGGAUGGUCUCGCGGGUUACCAGCUUGUUGGUGGGGUAGUGGCUUACCAAGCCUUUGACGGGUAGCCGGCCUGGGAGGGUGACCGGCCACAUUGGGACUGAGAGACGGCCCAGACUCCUACGGGAGGCAGCAGUGGAGAAUAUUGCACAAUGGGCGGAAGCCUGAUACAGCAACGCCGCGUGCGGGAUGACGGCCUUCGGGUUGUAAACCGCUUUCGCCGGUGACGAAGCGUGAGUGACGGUAAUGGGUAAGAAAGCACCGGCUAACUACGUG
rnacentral:rRNA from 1 species